rnacentral:rRNA from 1 species
AUACGGAGGAUGCGAGCGUUAUCCGGAUUUAUUAGGUUUAAAGGGUGUGUAGGCGGUAUUUUAAGUCAGUGGUGAAAUCUCGGAGCUUAACUUCGAAACUGCCAUUGAUACUGGAAUACUUGAGUAUAGUUGAGGUAGGCGGAAUAUGUAAUGUAGCGGUGAAAUGCAUAGAUAUUACAUAGAACACCGAUUGCGAAGGCAGCUUACUAAACUAUUACUGACGCUGAUGCACGAAAGCGUGGGGAGCGAACAGAAUUAGAAACCCUAGUAGUCC